AUCCAGCUGAUGAGUCCCAAAUAGGGCGAUACGCUUGUCCUAGAU
rfam:Schistosoma margrebowiei strain Zambia genome assembly, scaffold: SMRZ_scaffold0002655